GGCGAACGGGUGAGUAAUACAUCGGAACGUGCCCAGUCGUGGGGGAUAACUACUCGAAAGAGUAGCUAAUACCGCAUACGAUCUGAGGAUGAAAGCGGGGGACCUUCGGGCCUCGCGCGAUUGGAGCGGCCGAUGGCAGAUUAGGUAGUUGGUGGGAUAAAAGCUUACCAAGCCGACGAUCUGUAGCUGGUCUGAGAGGACGACCAGCCACACUGGGACUGAGACACGGCCCAGACUCCUACGGGAGGCAGCAGUGGGGAAUUUUGGACAAUGGGCGAAAGCCUGAUCCAGCAAUGCCGCGUGCAGGAUGAAGGCCUUCGGGUUGUAAACUGCUUU
rnacentral:rRNA from 1 species